AGCUUUUUGGCCCAAAUCCGUCCCGGAGGCGACAACGUGAAUUAAUCUUGUGCUCACUAUGCCAACUACAACAGCUUCUGUAGAAAGACAAUUAUUGCAACUAAAAAGACCAAAAGAUUCAUUCGGUGUAGGAAUGACAGAGGAAUACUUUUUUUUACUGGCAAUAAUCUUUUUAGAGUUUUAGAUGAAGAGGGUUCUGAAGCUCAUCAAAGAAAAGGGUACUCCUUUUCUUCUUUUUUUCUUUUACAGGAAAUAGAGAUAUUUGUUGUGAGACUCGAUGGACUUCAUCUACAAGUAAAGGAUGUGCCUAACUGACACCCCCCGUUGUAGCUGCUCCGGGGACGAACCUCUUGACAGGAAGUGCAGCAGACCCGGUCGAGAUGGCAGUCUCGUCGCUGUCAUUGCGGACACACCCACUAGAGGAAGCUGUACGACUUUUGUGAAAAUGCGAUGACUACGCAGAAGCUUUUUCCUCCUUCUUCUUAGUGUCAAACAGCAAAGAUGUUUUCGAAGUGUUUGCUAAAUUUGGACGCCGCUAUAAACCGGUUGCUAGCAGACCUAAUUUCCCUCAAAAUGUUUACUACAAAAAAAAUGUAUAAUUGUUUAUCUACAAGCAACAUAUAAUUACAGGCAGAAAAUUAAAUGGUCUUAAACCAGAUGGCAAUAAACCUGUGUAUUCAAUUUUUUUGUGACAAUUAUCAUUUAGUGAGGUGCUGUGAGAUGUUGACUAAUGAAAAAUAAAGUGUGUGUGCCUUGGCUCAAUUAAGGUUGGGAAACACUGAUGUAAAGCUCCCACUAAAUAACACUGCAUCCAC